UACAGACGGUCCAAACGUUAUUCGGAAUCACUGGGCUUAAAGAGUUCGUAGGCGGUCAGGAAAGUGGGGUGUGAAAGCCCUCGGCUCAACCGAGGAACUGCGCUCCAAACUCCCUGACUUGAGGAGGCUAGAGGCAAGCGGAACUGAUGGUGGAGCGGUGAAAUGCGUUGAUAUCAUCAGGAACACCGGAGGCGAAGGCGGCUUACUGGGGCCUUUCUGACGCUGAGGAACGAAAGCUAGGGGAGCGAACGGG
rnacentral:rRNA from 1 species